rnacentral:rRNA from 1 species
CCUACGGGUGGCAGCAGUCGAGAAUAAUUCACAAUGGGGGAAACCCUGAUGGUGCGACGCCGCGUGGGGGAAUGAAGGUCUUCGGAUUGUAAACCCCUGUCAUGUGGGAGCAAAUUAAAAAGAUAGUACCACAAGAGGAAGAGACGGCUAACUCUGUGCCAGCAGCCGCGGUAAUACAGAGGUCUCAAGCGUUGUUCGGAAUCACUGGGCGUAAAGCGUGCGUAGGCUGUUUCGUAAGUCGUGUGUGAAAGGCGCGGGCUCAACCCGCGGACGGCACAUGAUACUGCGAGACUAGAGUAAGGGAGGGGGAGCCGGAAUUCUCGGUGUAGCAGUGAAAUGCGUAGAUAUCGAGAGGAACACUCGUGGCGAAGGCGGGUUCCUGGACAGUAACUGACGCUGAGGCACGAAGGCCAGGGGAGCGAAAGGGAUUAGAUACCCCAGUAGUC